rnacentral:rRNA from 1 species
GAUGAACGCUGGCGGCGUGCCUAAUACAUGCAAGUCGAGCGAACGGACGAGAAGCUUGCUUCUCUGAUGUUAGCGGCGGACGGGUGAGUAACACGUGGAUAACCUACCUAUAAGACUGGGAUAACUUCGGGAAACCGUAGCUAAUACCGGAUAAUAUUUUGAACCGCAUGGUUCAAAAGUGAAAGGCGGUCUUGCUGUCACUUAUAGAUGGAUCCGCGCUGCAUUAGCUAGUUGGUAAGGUAACGGCCUACCAAGGCAACGAUGCAUAGCCGACCUGAGAGGGUGAUCGGCCACACUGGAACUGAGACACGGUCCAGACUCCUACGGGAGGCAGCAGUAGGGAAUCUUCCGCAAUGGGCGAAAGCCUGACGGAGCAACGCCGCGUGAGUGAUGAAGGUCUUCGGAUCGUAAAACUCUGUUAUUAGGGAAGAACAUAUGUGUAAGUAACUGUGCACAUCUUGACGGUACCUAAUCAGAAAGCCACGGCUAACUACGUG